UAGCCAACCUAGCCGCAGCCCCCACUUCAUCUCUCUCACCCUCUCAUCUUCAAGCAGUCACCUUACAAACCCCUUCUUCUCAAAAACCCAAUUCCAUACUUUCUUUCUUCUCUGCUCUCUUCCUUUUUUCUGAAUCUUUCUUUAUCUUCUUCUUCAAUUGGCUCUCGACUCGUGCUGCCCUCUCUGACUUCGAUCAAUUGGAGAACGAUGUUGAAGUAGCUGAAAAACCCCGUUUUUUUUAAGACCUUAAACUCACUGGAAAUGGCGCAACUUAAAGAAGCCAAAUUUCAAAAGCCGCUGAGCUCUGAGAGUGAAAUCCAAUUCAAAUGAGGCAGUGGACGAUCCCUUCCGUCUUGUUUCUGUUAUGUCUUCUUUUCCUUCUUCCAGAGCAAGGUCGGAGGAUACAAGCAAAUGAUUUUUUCACUCACUAGUGUUGACAGUGCUGCCCUUGCCGGCCUGUUCGAACGUGCUGGAAAUGUCGAAAUGGUUGAGUUGGCUUUCAAGGUUAAUCGAAUUUUAAAGGGGCUGGUUAUUGAGUGUUUGUUUUUCUACUCAUUAGUUCGGGUCCGCAAGGAUAACCCAGUGGCUACCCUCGCGCAAAUUAAAUGGGCCCUGCUGCAUACUGCCCGGCAAUUUUAAGGCCAUAAUGGAAGGAGAUCUCUGCAAUCCAUGAUGGAAUGGAGCAUGAUCAAAGGGUAGUGCGCAACUGUGUUAUCAAGGGAGCUGUAAAUGGUCAUGCACUUUUCAACGAGGGCUACGGCAUUAGUUUUCUCAUUACAAAUUAUCAUUGUGAAGAGAUGCAGAAGCAGAAGCUUAUUGAUUUCAUAGUGCAAUUCAUGGAGGAUAUCGAUAAGGAGAUCAGUGAACACCCGAGGGAGGCUUGUUGCUAGGAUAUUGAAAUUUUAUGAAUUUUAUGUUUUAUUUUUCUUUGUUUAUUCUCUGUUUUCUGUAUUCAUUUUUUUGUCCUCUAUUUGAAGCUAGGAACUACAGAAAUUCUCUAUUGUAUUGCAUCAAUGAGUUCCCUUGGAAGGGUGAAUACUCAGUUAAUGUUUGCAACGGGUUGUAUUAGAUAUUGUAGUGCUAAGUUGUUUGCUUGUGUUGGUUAAUCAAAAGGGAUCGUUUAGUACGAGAGAUACUAGAUAAUUAAUCUCGGGAUUAAAUAUGA